rnacentral:rRNA from 1 species
AUUGAACGCUGGCGGCAUGCUUUACACAUGCAAGUCGAACGGCAGCACGGGUGCUUGCACCUGGUGGCGAGUGGCGAACGGGUGAGUAAUGCAUCGGAACGUGCCCAUGAGUGGGGGAUAGCCCGGCGAAAGCCGGAUUAAUACCGCAUACGCCCUUAGGGGGAAAGCGGGGGAGUCUUCGGACCUCGCGCUAUUGGAGCGGCCGAUGUCGGAUUAGCUAGUAGGUGAGGUAAAGGCUCACCUAGGCGACGAUCCGUAGCUGGUCUGAGAGGAUGAUCAGCCACACUGGGACUGAGACACGGCCCAGACUCCUACGGGAGGCAGCAGUGGGGAAUUUUGGACAAUGGGCGCAAGCCUGAUCCAGCCAUGCCGCGUGAGUGAAGAAGGCCUCGGGUUGUAAAGCUCUUUCAGGUGGAAGAAUAGCGCUGUUAAUAGAUGGCGUUGAUGACGGUACCACCAGAAGAAGCACCGGC